UCCUGUUAGCUCAGUCGGUAGACCAUAGGACUCUAAACCCCGGGGUUGUGGGAUCGAGCCCCACACUGGGAG
rnacentral:tRNA from 1 species